AUUGAACGCUGGCGGCAGGCUUACCACAUGCAAGUCGAACGAGUGGCGGACGGGUGAGUAAUGCCUGGGAAACUGCCCGAUUGAGGGGGAUAACUACUGGCAACGGUCGCUAAUACCGCCUUCCAUCUGAUGUGCCCAGAUGGGAUUAACUAGUUGGUGGGGUAAAGGCUCACAUGGGCGACGAUCCCUCACUGGUCUGAGAGGAUGACCAGACACACUGGAACUGAGAAAGGCACCAGACUCCUACGGGAGGCGUCAGUGGGGAACAUUGCACAAGGGGCGCAAUCCUGAUGCAGACAGGCGGCGGGGAUGUAGAAGGCCUUCGGGUUGUAAAGUCCGUUCAGCGGGGAGGCGUUACCCGCAUAAGAAGCACCGGCUAACUCCGUGCCAGCCGCCGCGGUAAUAC
rnacentral:rRNA from 1 species